rnacentral:rRNA from 1 species
UACGUAGGGUGCAAGCGUUGUCCGGAAUUAUUGGGCGUAAAGAGCUCGUAGGCGGUUUGUCGCGUCUGCUGUGAAAACUCGAGGCUCAACCUCGAGACGUCGGCGGAAACCAUCUGGCUAGAGUCCGGAAGAGGAGAGUGGAAUUCCUGGUGUAGCGGUGAAAUGCGCAGAUAUCAGGAAGAACACCCGUGGCGAAGGCGGCUCUCUGGGACGGUACUGACGCUGAGACGCGAAAGCGUGGGGAGCGAACAGG